rnacentral:rRNA from 1 species
UACGGAGGAUGCGAGCGUUAUCCGGAUUUAUUGGGUUUAAAGGGUGCGCAGGCGGAGGCACAAGUCAGCGGUAAAAUCGCGGGGCUCAACCCCGCUCCGCCGUUGAAACUGUGUCCCUUGAGUGCGCGAAGGGUAGGCGGAAUGCGUGGUGUAGCGGUGAAAUGCAUAGAGAUCAUACAGAACACCGAUUGCGAAGGCAGCUUACCAAGCUACUUCUGACGUUGAGGCACGAAAGCGUGGGGAGCAAACAGG